rnacentral:rRNA from 1 species
UGAAUACGAGACGCUACGGCGUCGAAGCAGUCUAUGUCAUACUUCCAAGAAAAGCUUGCACUGUCAUAAACAAAUAAUGCCUGUACCAUAACCGACACAGGUGGGUAGGUAGAGUAUACUAAGGGGCGCGAGAUAACUCUCUCUAAGGAACUCGGCAAAAUGACUCCGUAACUUCGGGAGAAGGAGUGCCUUAUUUAUAAGGUUGCAAUAACAAGAUCCAAGCAACUGUUUAUCAAAAACACAGGUCUCCGCUAAGUCGUAAGACGAUGUAUGGGGGCUGACGCCUGCCCAGUGCCAGAAGGUUAAAGAAGUUGGUUAGCAUUAGCGAAGCUGAUAACUGAAGCCCUGGUGAACGGCGGCCGUAACGAUAACGGUCCUAAGGUAGCGAAAUUCCUUGUCGGGUAAGUUCCGACCCGCACGAAAGGCGUAAUGAUUUGGAUACUGUCUCAGAGAGGGGCUCGGUGAAAUAGACUUGUCUGUGAAGAUGCGGACUACCUGCACCAGGACAGAAAGACCCUAUGAAGCUUUACUGUAACUUGAAAUUGAAAUUGGACUUUAUUUGCGCAGUAUAGGUGGGAGGCAUUGAUAAUAUUCUUGCGGGAAUGUUGGAGCCAUCAGUGAGAUACCACUCUUGUAAUGUUAGAUUUCUAACUUUGGAUCAUUAUCUGGUCAAAGGACAGUUUCAGGCGGGCAGUUUGACUGGGGCGGUCGCCUCCUAAAUGGUAACGGAGGCGCACAAAGGUUUCCUCUGAACGGGUAGAAAUCGUAUCUAGAGUGUAAAGGCAUAAGGAAGCUUGACUGUGAGACCUACAAGUCGAGCAGGGACGAAAGUCGGUCUUAGUGAUCUGACGGUGCUGAGUGGAAAGGCCGUCACUCAACGGAUAAAAGUUACUCUAAGGAUAACAGGCUGAUCUCCCCCAAGAGUUCACAUCGACGGGGAGGUUUGGCACCUCGAUGUCGGCUCAUCGCAUCCUGGGGCGGUAGUACGUCCCAAGGGUUGGGCUGUUCACCCAUGAAAGCGGUACGCGAGCUGGGUUCAGAACGUCGUGAGACAGUUCGGUCCAUAUCCGGUGUAGGCGUUAGAAUAUUGAGAGGAGCCUUCUUUAGUACGAGAGGACCGAGAAGGACAUACCUCUGGUGUACCAGUUAUCGUGCCAACGGUAAACGCUGGGUAGCUAUGUAUGGAGAGGAUAACCGCUGAAAGCAUCUAAGUGGGAAGCCCACCUCAAGAUAAGUAUUCUCAUC